rnacentral:rRNA from 1 species
ACGCUGGCGGCAUGGCUAAGACAUGCAAGUCGAACGGACUAUAUGAUUGAGUAAUCUUGAAUAUAGUUAGUGGCGAAAGGGCGAGGAAUAAAUAGGCAACGUACCCCGAUCUCCAGGAUAGUGUCAGGAUACUUCGGUAUCCCUCCGAAAGGGGCAGUAAUACUGGAUAAUAUCAUGUGCUUGAUGCAUAUGAUCAAAGAUUUAUCGGUUUGGGAGCGGCCUAUUUCCCAUCAGCUUGUUGGUAAGGUAAUGGCUUACCAAGGCUACGACGGGUAUCGGGACUGAGAGGUUGACCCGACGCAUCGGAACUGAGACACUGUCCGGACCUCCACGGAGGGCUGCAGUAACGAAUAUUGCACAAUGGGCGCAAGCCUGAUGCAGCAAUGCCGCGUGUAGGAUGAAGCUCUUCGGAGUGUAAACUACUGUCAGGGGUUAGAAAGUGCGCUUGCGCAUUGAUCAGCCCCAGAGGAAGUCACGGCUAACUUCGUGCCAGCAGCCGCGGUAAUACGAAGGUGGCAAGCGUUGUUCGGAAUCACUGGGCUUAAAGCGCACGCAGGCGGAACAGAAAGUGUCUUGUGAAAGCCCCCGGCUUAACCGGGGAAUUGCUCGGCAAACUCCUGUUCUUGAGUCAAGUAGGGGUACAUGGAAACUCUUAGUGGAGCGGUGGAAUGCGUAGAUAUUAAAAGGAACGCCAAUGGUGAAGACAGUGUACUGGGCUUGUACUGACGCUGAGGUGCGAAAGCGUGGGGAGCGAACGGGAAUUAGAUACCCCGGUAGUCCACGCCGUAAACGAUGUCUACUAGGUUGUGGAGGUUCUGACACACUCACAGCCGGA